AUUGAACGCUGGCGGCAGGCCUAAAACAUGCAAGUAGAACGAGUGGCGGACGGGUGAGUAAUGUCUGGGAAACUGCACGAUGGAGGGGGAUAACUACUGGAAACGGUAGCUAAUACCGCAUACACUCGGAUGUGCCCAGAUGGGAUUAGCGAGUAGGUGGGGUAAUGGCUCACCUAGGCGACGAUCCCUAGCUGGUCUGAGAGGAUGACCAGCCACACUGGAACUGAGCCACGGUCCAGCCUCCUACGGGAGGCAGCAGUUGGGAAUAUUGCACAAUGGGCGCAAGCCUGAUGCAGCCAUGCCGCGUGUAUGAAGAAGGCCUUCGGGUUGUAAAGUACUUUCAUCGAGGAGGCGUUACUCGCAGAAGAAGCACCGGCUAACUCCGUGCCAGCCGCCGCGGUAAUAC
rnacentral:rRNA from 1 species